AGAUUAGAAUUAUUUAGUAUUUUAUUACCAGGAUUGUAGUUGGUUUUUCCAAUUGAAAAUUCUUUGUGUUUCCUAGUUGCAUUUUAGAAGGUACCAUCUGUAUGUCACUAUGUUGUGCCGAUGUAGGCUCGCAGAAAAAAUUAUGGAAGCUGGUCUCAAGAGAUUGGGGAUAUUGCAUCUCAGAUUGGCCAGCUUUAUUCUGGACAGUACAUGAGGACAAGCGAGGCCAACUAUUUGUCUGAGUCUUAUAUCUUUUAUGAGGCAGUGUUGAAUAGGGAGUAUUUUAAAGAUGGAAUGUUUCAGGAUGUUAGUUUUGCUAGCAAGCAACUUCGAUUUCUUGCUCGGUUUAUGACAGUUUGUUUGGUUUUGAAUCGGUGAGACAUGGUUUAUCAAUUAGUUAAUCAGCUCAAGAUGUUACUUGAUGAAUGCAAGAGGGCAUUCCAGGAAACUGAUUUUAAAGAAUGGAAGCUGGUGGUUCAGGAAAUUGUUAAGUUUCUAAAAGCUGACUCGGCUUUUUAUGAAUACCAGGCCAUUGAGAUGUAGUGUCGUAUUGGAUCUUCAUCCAGAUUGCCUGCCACAAGUUGUUGAAGCAAAGAGAAAGCUAAGAUUACGAGAUACACUACUGUGCAGCUACCAUCCCAAUGAGGUUAAAUAUUCAGAACUGACUCUUGACACUUUCUGAAUGCUACAAUGUCUGGAGUGGGAACCUAGUGGGUCAUUUUAUCAGACGGGUGGGAUUCCUCCAAGUGGGGCUGGAACUGGUAUUGGCCAGAAUGGGGCACCCGGACCCAGUCGUGUUAAUUAUUCACAAGAUAUAUCUGAUCCUACUCUGCCUCCUAACCCUCGCAAGUCCAUCCUAUAUCGCCCGUCUAUUACAAAUUUUUUAGCAGUUUUGUCGACAAUCUGCGAGGAGCUAUCUCAUGAUGGAGUUCUUUUACUAUAUUUGUCUGCAUGCAGAUUAUAAAAAAUGGUGCAGUACAACUUUAAGAAGAUUACGGUGGUUCCCAAUGGGAAGGACUUUGUCAAUAUCAUUAUGUCUCGCACACAGCGUCAAACUCCUACUGUUUGUCCACAAAGGAUAUGCUAUCUCUCGUAUACGUCAAUUUUACAUGCGCACAGUUAAGUAUACACAGCAGAAUUUCUAUGACAAACUCUCCACCAUUAUUGAUGAGUUCCCCAGGCUUGACGAUAUCCAUCCUUUCUAUGGAGACCUUCUUCAUGUACUCUACAACAAAGAUCACUACAAGCCCUUGGCCAAAUUAAUACUGCUAGAAAUUUGAUUUCAAAAAUUGCUAAAGAUUAUGUGAAAUUGCUGAAGUAUGGCGACUCACUCUAUCGCUGCAAGUCCCUGAAGGUUGCUGCUCUUGGGCGCAUGUGCACUGUUAUAAAGCGCAUUUGCCCAAGUUUAGCUUAUUUAGAACAGAUUAGGCAGCACAUGGCAAGACUUCCCUCAAUUGAUCCCAAUACUAGGACAAUCUUGAUUUGUGGGUAUCCAAAUGUUGGAAAGAGCUCAUUCAUCAACAAAAUUACAAGAGCAGAUGUGGAUGUGCAGCCUUAUGCUUUCACUACAAAGUCCUUGUUUGUCGGUCAUAUUGACUACAAAUAUCUGAGGUAUCAAGUGAUCGACGCUUCUGGUAUUCUGGAUAGGCCAUUUGAGGAUCGUAAUAUCAUUGAGAUGUGCAGUAUUACAGCUCUAGCACAUCUGAGGGCUGCUGUGUUGUUUUUCCUUGAUAUUUCUGGGUCUUGUGGCUAUAGCAUUGAGCAGCAGGCUGCUCUUUUCCACAGCAUCAAAUCACUCUUUAUGAACAAACCCUUGAUGAUCGUGUGCAACAAAACAGACUUGCAGCCGUUAGAAGGGAUUUCUGAGGAAGACAAGAAGUUAGUCGCAGAGAUGAAAGAUGAAGCCAUGAAGACAGUGAUGGGUCAAGGUGGCGAGGCAACUGAUGAAGCAGGUGUGUUGUUAACUACGAGCAAGUUGACGGAAGAUGGCGUGAUUUCAGUGAAGAAUGCAGCUUGUGAGAGGUUACUGAAUCAAAGGGUAGAAUUGAAAAUAAAGUCGAAAAAGUUGAAUGACUGCUUGAACCGCUUCCAUGUUGCUAUGCCAAAACCACGUGACCAGAAAGAGAGGCCAGUAUGCAUACCUCAGGCAGUGUUGGAAGCCAGAGCUAAGGAAGCUGAGGCAGAUGCUGAGAAACAGAAAAGGAAAUUUGAGAGAGAUCUGGAGAAUGAGAACGGAGGUGCAGGUGUUUACUCUGCCAGCUUGAGGAAGCACUAUCUAUUAGCAAAUGAAGAGUGGAAGGAAGAUGUAAUGCCAGAAAUUUUAGAUGGGCACAAUGUCUAUGACUUUAUUGACCCUGAUAUCUUACAAAGGCUUGAAGAAUUGGAGAGAGAAGAAGGUCUUCGUCAGGAUGAAGAAGGAGAUGAUGAUUUUGAGAUGGAUGGCGUUGAGCUGACCCCUGAAGAACAAGCAGCAUUAGCUGAAAGCCGGAAACAGAAGAGUUUGCUCAUUCAACAGCAUAGAAUUAAGAAAAGCACUGCAGAGAGCCGACCCACUGUACCAAGAAAGUUUGACAAAGACAAGGAGUUCACUUCAAAAAGAAUGGGAAGGCAGUAUCUGCUUUGGGGCUGGAUCCAACUCUAGCAAUCAAUUGAGCCCGUAGUAAAUCAAGGGAUCGUAAGCGAGAGAGAUCAGUUGAACGUGGAGAUGACAUUGGUAAGGAUGCAAUGGAUGUCGACGAGAUUACUCCCAACAAGAAGCAAAGAUUGAGGUCACUUUCCAUUACGGCAAGAUCAAGGUCAAGGUCAAGGUCACGACCUCCAGAUGAAUUUGUUCCAGGGGAGGGCUUAAAGGACAAAGCCCAGAAGAAGAUGGCUGUAAAGAUGGCUAAGGGUUCUUCUAAGAAGAGGAACAAGGAUGCUCGGCGGGGAGAGGCUGAUAGAGUUAUUCCUACUCUGAAACCAAAACAUCUCUUCUCAGGAAAGCGAUCAACUGGGAAAACUGACCGGCGCUAGUAAACCAAGAUGGCAUUUUAUCUUGGAAUUUGCUGAUGGUACCUGUCAAGAUGCUUGUGUUGCAAUAUCUUGGGUGGCGGACAGAAAGGCUGAAAGAAACUCAGCUUAUUUAGGACACUUUCGCAGUUGAAUUUUCCGUCUCUGUUAUUUCGAGCUUUCCUUGCUGUUUAUUUAAGCUAUUUUUCAUACUGUUUUUUAACUUUAAAUUGUUGAAGAAUGUUAGUUUUUUUUGUAAAACAAAGAUGUGAGGAAGAUGUCAAGAAUUCAAUCUAUUGAAAUGACAAGACCAAGACUACAGAUU